rnacentral:rRNA from 1 species
UAGGGAAUCUUCCGCAAUGGACGAAAGUCUGACGGAGCAACGCCGCGUGAGUGAUGAAGGUCUUCGGAUCGUAAAACUCUGUUAUCAGGGAAGAACAAGUAUCGGAGUAACUGCCGGUACCUUGACGGUACCUGACCAGAAAGCCACGGCUAACUACGUGCCAGCAGCCGCGGUAAUACGUAGGUGGCAAGCGUUGUCCGGAAUUAUUGGGCGUAAAGCGCGCGCAGGCGGUCUCUUAAGUCUGAUGUGAAAUUCCGUGGCUUAACCACGGGCGGUCAUUGGAAACUGGGGGACUUGAGUGCAGAAGAGAAGAGCGGAAUUCCACGUGUAGCGGUGAAAUGCGUAGAGAUGUGGAGGAACACCAGUGGCGAAGGCGGCUCUUUGGUCUGUAACUGACGCUGAGGCGCGAAAGCGUGGGGAGCGAACAGG